rfam:Tupaia chinensis contig227257, whole genome shotgun sequence.
UUGCACGUGGAACUGUCUGCUCCUCAUUCCUCGGGGGCGGGACUAUUCCCACGCCACGCUAUACUGAAAGGGUGCUCAGGGCUGCCGACCUUGACGUAGAGGCUGAGUGGUAGUAUAUCUCUCCUACAUAA